rnacentral:rRNA from 1 species
CAUGGCUCAGAUUGAACGCUGGCGGCAGGCCUAACACAUGCAAGUCGAACGGUAACAGGAAGCAGCUUGCUGCUUUGCUGACGAGUGGCGGACGGGUGAGUAAUGUCUGGGAAACUGCCUGAUGGAGGGGGAUAACUACUGGAAACGGUGGCUAAUACCGCAUAACGUCGCAAGACCAAAGAGGGGGACCUUCGGGCCUCUUGCCAUCAGAUGUGCCCAGAUGGGAUUAGCUUGUUGGUGAGGUAACGGCUCACCAAGGCGACGAUCCCUAGCUGGUCUGAGAGGAUGACCAGCCACACUGGAACUGAGACACGGUCCAGACUCCUACGGGAGGCAGCAGUGGGGAAUAUUGCACAAUGGGCGCAAGCCUGAUGCAGCCAUGCCGCGUGUAUGAAGAAGGCCUUCGGGUUGUAAAGUACUUUCAGCGGGGAGGAAGGUGUUGUGGUUAAUAACCGCAGCAAUUGACGUUACCCGCAGAAGAAGCACCGGCUAACUCCGUGCCAGCAGCCGCGGUAAUACGGAGGGUGCAAGCGUUAAUCGGAAUUACUGGGCGUAAAGCGCACGCAGGCGGUCUGUCAAGUCGGAUGUGAAAUCCCCGGGCUCAACCUGGGAACUGCAUUCGAAACUGGCAGGCUUGAGUCUUGUAGAGGGGGGUAGAAUUCCAGGUGUAGCGGUGAAAUGCGUAGAGAUCUGGAGGAAUACCGGUGGCGAAGGCGGCCCCCUGGACAAAGACUGACGCUCAGGUGCGAAAGCGUGGGGAGCAAACAGGAUUAGAUACCCUGGUAGUCCACGCCGUAAACGAUGUCUACUUGGAGGUUGUGCCCUUGAGGCGUGGCUUCCGGAGCUAACGCGUUAAGUAGACCGCCUGGGGAGUACGGCCGCAAGGUUAAAACUCAAAUGAAUUGACGGGGGCCCGCACAAGCGGUGGAGCAUGUGGUUUAAUUCGAUGCAACGCGAAGAACCUUACCUGGUCUUGACAUCCACAGAACUUUCCAGAGAUGGAUUGGUGCCUUCGGGAACUGUGAGACAGGUGCUGCAUGGCUGUCGUCAGCUCGUGUUGUGAAAUGUUGGGUUAAGUCCCGCAACGAGCGCAACCCUUAUCCUUUGUUGCCAGCGGUCCGGCCGG